rnacentral:lncRNA from 1 species
AACAAAGUCGUUGUAGUAUAGUGGUAAGUAUUCCUGCCUGUCAUGCGGGUGACCCGGGUUUGAUCCCCGACAGCGGCGUGUUUUUUUUGGUUGUUUUCACGAACAAUCUAUUUUAAUGCACGGUUAAUCACUUUGCGUGCCAAGAAACAACAGUCAAAGGCUUAGAGAAUUGUUGUUGACACAUUGCAUAAGGCUGAGGCACACAAAUAAAAUACGUUUUUGCCCCAUCGGCAGUUAACUGUCAAGAAAUUCAAUAACCAACUGCAGUUAACUGCCGAGGAAAACAUCUGUAGUUAACUGCCGAAAUUGGUUGUAAGAACAGAACAAAUAUAGGAGUUUCCAAAACUCCAUUGUUGCGGUUUUCAUUCUCUUAGGUGCCAUUUUCUGUCAUUCCAAGCCAAUUUCAAUCACAAAAACAAGUAAAUUUUUUGAAUCUUAUUGCAUUGUUGUUUUGUGAUCGAAUUCUUUGUUUUUUUUUUAUUAUUAAAUUUCGAUUAUAUAGGUUCGAUAUAUAGGUUUUAUUGAUUUUAUGAUUUUAUGAUAUGUUAUGAUAGUUUAGGUUAGAAUUGUUAGAGAACUUUUAUUGAAUUGUUAGGUUUAGGUUUUGAUGAAUAGGUGUAGAAUUGUUUAAGUUUAGGUGUAGGUUUUGAUGAUAGUUUAGGUUUAGGUUUAGUUUUUGAUUUUACGAUUUUAUGGCAUUGUUGUUUAGUUAGGUUUUGAUCGCCAUUUUUUUUUAAUGUAGAUAUGUCUCAGAAUCAGAAUCAGGGCAACGUUCAGGGUGAUGAGAAGAACAAAGAAAAAUCGCCCAUGACAUGGCACAAAAUUGUUAGUGAUGGUUCCGAAAAAAAAAAAAAAAAAGGAUUCGAAGGUGUCGGUGUACAAUCAGUCCAGGUUGAGGAGGAGCGGGAGGACAUGCUAUUUUGGUCCUCAACCAAAACAAAGUGCCCCAGGGACUGUAGCGGGCAACCCGAUUGACUUGUGUGACGAGGAAGAAUGAAUGUUGUAACACUCCGUUUUCCCAACUUGAAAAUUUUUACAUAAUAAUCAGAGUAAUCAACUCAACAUGAUGUCACACUACUUUAAAAGAUAAAUAGAGUAGAAUUAUUAUUUAUUCAAAACAUCUCAUGUCAACAAUUCAAAAUACAUUGCAGCGGAAAACAUUCAUUAUUCAACGUAAUGGCACAAAGGCCUCAACAUAAACAACUUAUUAAAAUUCCAAUCUAGGUGGUUCAUCAACAUAAAAUCAUAGAAAUACGUAACACAUGGAAAAGAAGCAAGAUCCUCAUCCCGUUACGUAUCAGAGUGACCCUAAGACGACGCGUGAGAGAGUCAGCUCACUUCAACAGUUAUUCAUGGUUAUCUGCACGUUACCCACGUAGAGACAACAUUCAAACAGAAGGGGUGAGAUUCACAUUCAAUAAUAAUAAGCAUAUAAUUCAUCAACAUAAUUUAACAACGUAAACAACAACAAUAAUGAUUAUUAAUACUUCACAUAGUUUCUCAUUAACAACUCCUUAGUAAUUGACAACUUGUCAACGAUGACAAUGUGACAACAACAACAUCAACUCGACAAUGCAACAACUACGACUUAAACAUGCAUGUGGUACCAAUCAGGGCAUCAAGCCCCCAACUUAUAGAGCACAAAAGGGCUCACAGGGCAUCAAGCCCUCAACUUAAUAUGAAUGAUUAUACAUUCAACAGGGCAUCAAGCCCUCAACUUUAAUGAGUAUGCAAGGACUCAGCAACCAACAACUUUAACAACUUAGACAACUUGCAACUUAGACAACUUUAUCGACAUCGACAAUAACUUACAACUUUAACGACAUUAACGACAACAACGGCAACGACAACAACAACGACUUCGCAUCAUAAUAUCAUAAUUCAUCAAUUAUGAACAACAUCAUAUUCAUUAACAUAUACCUUCAUAUAAUACUUCAUCAAUCAUGGACAACAUCAUAUAACAUCAUAUUCAUCAACAUAUACAUUCAUAUAAUAAUUUAUCAAUCAUGAACAACAUCAUAGGACAUCAUAUUCAUUAACAUAUACAUUCAUAUAAUACUUCAUCAAUCAUGAACAACAUCAUAUAACAUCAUACUCAUCAACAUAUACAUUCAUAUAAUAAUUCAUCAAUCAUGAACAACAUCAUAUAACCUCAUAUUCAUCAACAUAUAGAUUCAUAUAGAUAUUAAAUCAUCCAACAAAGAUAUUCACGUCAAACCAAAUUAGAUCCAUCAAAACAUAGGUUAAAUACUCUUAUACCCCUUAAUUAAACUCCUAGUACUUCAAGUUUUGAGGUUUGGAAUUAUUCCAUAAGUUUUGGAUUGACUUAGAAACGGUUAUGCUGAAUUUUCAUAAAAUGUCACUAAGACCUCCUUGGAGUAUUUUCAUCAUAUCUAAAAAAAAAAAAAAAUCAUUUUCAAGUCAAACCAAAGUCAUUGGAAAGCUAACAAAAUUAUCUAAAACUUUCAUGUUUAUACCAAAACCCGAUUCAUAGCAGAAAGGGGUGAAAAAUAGUGAAAUAUGAAGGAUCUGAUUCACAAAAAUUGUGUCAUGAUUUUAGAAAAUCGUGACACGUUUUUAUGCCCAGAACCACUGAACUUUCGUCCAACAAAAUCGUGACACGCCUGCAAAAUCGUGACACGUUUUGACAGCAUCAGGUCCAGAAAUCUGCUUUUCAAAAAGUGCGUUUUUCACCAUUUCGCGCGUAAAAUUUAAACCGUUAAUCGGAUUUUGUUGCCGUUUUCGCCUACACGCUCCUGACACUUAACUCUAUCAUAAUCUACAGAAAUUUCAAGUCUCAACCAUCGCAAGAUUCUACCGCUUUCUCUUCUCUGACUCUUCUCUUCUCUUGGUUUCUCCCUUUUCUCCCAAAAACUUGUUUUACGUAUUCCGUUUCUCUAUUCCUAACCUCUCUUUUUAUAAACCUAACAUAUUUUCCCUUAUUCCAAAUCUGCCCCUCACACCUCAAUAUUCUAUUUUAAUAUAUAUAUAAAUAUAUAUAUAUAUAUAUAUAUAAUAUUUCUACACCAAAUAACAAAUAUAUCUCUACACCAAAUAACAAAUAUAUUUCUACAUCAGAUAACAUAUAUAUUUCUUCACCAAAUAACAAAUAUAUUUCUACGCCAGAUAACAUAUAUAUUAUACUAAUAAAUACCAACAUAUAACAUAACAAAAUAUCACUCAUCAAAAUAAAUCGACUAAAUUAUAAAAAGACAUCUAAACUCAAUAAAAUAAAUAAAUAAUAAAAUAGGGCGUUACAAAUGUAAUGGCUUUUAAUGCCUAAUUGUUUUGGAUUUUUUUAUGUUUUAUUUUCGUGUCGCGCACAUUUUGUUUGACAUUAUGGUACUUAGAAUAAAAUCGCAUUUGGAAUAAUUUCGAUUAAAGUCGCGUUUUAAAUAAUUGCGUAUUUGAAUAAAAUUUAAUUAACUCUAACGGGAAUUCAACUAAUUAAAAUUGCGUAAUGAAUAAAUAACUUCGAAAAGUGAAUAAAUAAGAUAAUUAUUGUUCCAUUCAAAAAAAAAUGUAUUAGCAUAUUCAACUAUAUAUGAUAUCAUAUUACAUUGCAUUACAUUACAUUUCGGAAUGUACCUUCCAACUGCAACAAUUAUCUUACCACUGAAUGGGGAAAUUCAAACUUGCUAAGCAGCAGUACUCCAACAUCCGACCAACAUCUUGAAUGAUGGUAUUCAAGUGUCAAAAGAAUGAGGUACAUUCCUUGACACUUAAAUACCAGCAAUCAAGAGGCUCAUCAAAUGCUGGAUUCAUGCCGUUUAACAAAUUUGAAUUACCCCAUUCAGAGAAAGACAAUUGUUGCAGUUAGACGUUUGUACCUUCCAACUACAAAAACCGUCUUACCUUUGAAUGGGGUAAAUUCAAACUUGCCAAGCAGCAGGACUCCAAUAUCGUGCCAAUGUCUACCAAUCCCGCAAUGGAUACGACAUCUUUCGUUAGUUCCAACUCUCGUUUGUCUCGCAUGCAUAAUCCAAAUGUUGCAUGGCAUUCAUGAUAUUUGAAAAUGUACAAGCGUAUUUUUACGUCCAAACACAGUGCAAAUGUUAAUAUUUAAGUAUCUUCGUCCCGUCAAGCCAAAGACUCCGUCUCUUGACCCUCCGGACAAAGAAACUUAAAUAGGGGCAGCUGUUAUACCCUGAUUUUGGACCUAAAAAUACUCGUUCAAAUUUCUUUUUUAAACACUGAUAUUUGUCAAGUCGCUGUUGUUUUAUUUUGAAUCCUUACUCUCUUUUCAUCUGCAUAUUUUACUGCCUCUGUCUUUUCUGACAUUACAAGUCAUUUAAGAACCCUCUGAAACGUCGCAUUACUUUUCUUGCAUUUUAUUUCAAAAAUCAUACAAAAGGGUAUUUUGGUCAUUUCCUGCAGUGGAACCCAUUUUAGUCCCUGUGUUUGCCUCUGAGUCUUUUCAACUUGUCUGUACGAAUUAUUGUUGAUUCUUUGUUUAAAAAUCAUUUCGAAAAUUGCAUCUGAGUCAGUUUGAGUCAGUUUAGUCCCUAGGGGCAUUUUGGUCUUUUCCUGUCAAAAUUUCGGCAGAGAGGUAUUUUAAAAUACCUCAUUUUUGUAGCUGGUUCAUUUUAGUCCUUUUGUUGAUUUUAUUUUUGGUUUCACUUUACGUUUUGUCCAAUUUACCAAUUUUAGUCCAAUUUUAUUUUUAUUGCAUUUUAGUCCCUGAAACAGUUUCUAAAAUUGCAUUUUAGUCCAAUACUUUUUAAAAUUGCAUUUUUAAGUCCUUUUUCAUAAUUGCAGAUUAGUCCUUUUAUUUUUUCCUUUUUGCAGCAAGGUCCAUAAGUCCAAUUACAGGUGUCCCUCUUCCAUUGGGUCUCAAGCACACUUGGCAGCCUAUAAAAGGUGCAAUUACUGUACAAGUCAGGAUCAUAUACACAAUCAUUGACACAUCACAAAAACAGAUUUCAACUUUCUCUCUCCAUUCAGUUAGAUCAAAACAGAAAAAUCCCCAAGAACAAAAAAACCCUAGAAAUUUCCAGAACCAGAAUCCAUUGAAAUGGCUUUGAUUCUCAGAGAUUCAUUAAGGAAUCAUCAUCAUUGAAUCGUUGCUCUGCAAUUCGAGUGCGAAUUCACCACUGAAAGCGGCGAACUCAAGCACGAUCAUAGAGGCUUUCUCGGAGACGAAGAAGAGGGACGAAAAUGAGCAUGUCGAACCUGUGAAGAAGAAGAGAGGAUCGGAACAGCAAGAAAUCAAGCCAGAAUCAACAGAACAAGAUUAAACUCAAGUUUUCCUGAAGAUCCGGUUCGGAAUCACCAAGAAAACCACAGGUAAAACUCAAACUUCAUCUUUUUUUUUCUCAAGAACAAAGCAAAAGGCGAAUCAAGUGUAAAUCUGUAGGAUUAUAGAAGCGUGUAACCGAAAAAGCACAAAGAACAAAAAAAAAACUUCAUUCAAAACCGCGACUUCAAACUCAGAUCUACUCCGGUUGAAAUUCUUUUUCAAAAAACUAAGCUCAGAUUCAUGCAUAGGAGAAAAAAGGAUGUUUAAAAAUGUAAAAAAAAUUUGAAUCGGAGCCAAAAAAAUUUCCGGCGCCGGAGAAGCUUGUUACACCGGAGAAGAUGACCGGAUUCUAGAGAGAGGUCAGACUCUCUCUCUCUCUAGAAUCCAAAGAAGAGAGAAGAUUUUUUGAGAACUUUGUGUUUUUUUUUGUUGAAACUCCUUUUUAUACUCCUCUGUUCCCACGCGCGCGCGUGCGUGCUCUUGCUGUGCUCCCUCGUGUUGUGAACCAUCAGAUCUGGAUCGUUCCAAGAUCUGAUGGCUGCUGUGUGUUUUGAUCUUGAAUCAUGUGUGUGAUAUUCUGUGUGAAAUAUGAUAUAUCUUCUGUUUGAACCGUUAGAUCUUUGAUCUAACGGUCAUUGUGCUUCCUGCAAUUUUACACUAUCUUUUUGUGUUUUUUUAAACCCUUGGAUCUUUGAUCCAGUGGCUGUGAUGAGAUCUUGGGAGUUAGAUCUGGACCUCUGGAUUCAUCCAACGGUCCAGAUUAUAUCCUGCUGAGUUUUUUUUUUAAUUGUUUUUUUAUUGUGUUUUAAAUACUUUUUUACACUUUCUUGGCAUUUUAUGCUCCUAAAAAUUUUCUAAAAGAUUCUUCCCUAUUAUUUUAAUUUUUUCUCUAAAUGUUAGAAUUUACUCGCUUAUUUUUGCAUUUAUUUUCUUCAUUUGUUCUUUUCAUUUCUUGCUCAUUAAAUUCCUAUAUGUUCUUGGUGCAUUUUUUGACAUUUUGUGAUAUUUUUAUUUUUUUUACAUGUUAAAUAAUGUGUAAAAAUAUCUCUAGGAAUAUGGUAUGAUGCUUUGCUUGUGUGUGUUCUUAUGAUCCUCACAUUGUAACUUAAAAUCAAAUCUCUUUUAAAAAUGGCUAUGAUGAGGGAAUUAUAAGCCAUAUGCAUGUCUAAGUGUUAUACCUAAUUCUAGGUAUAUUUUGCCAUUUUAUUUCAUUUCAUUGCUCUUUUCUUUUUUGCUAUUCUAUUCAAUUUUGUUUACCUUUUUACCAUUUUUAUGUCUUAUGAUACUAACCAUUUCAUUUCAUAUUUCAUCCAUCUCAUAGUUUAGGCAUUAUUUUUUCUAUUCAUUUCUAUAUCAAAUGGGUUUGUAAUAAUUUUAGAUAGAUUAGUUCCCUUUUUAAUUCCUUGCAAGACCAUAGCAUGUAUUUAGGACUCAAUGUAAAGGACUAUGGACACUAUAAGUGAUGUACACCGACACAAGCACCGACACGUACACACGUUGCAUGUUUACCGUUUAGAUGUAUGCUUAGGAAACGCGAUUUUUUAGACAAAAUGCCAAUUUUCAAAAAUAAUAAACCAAUUCCAUCACUCAAAUUUUUUUUUCCAAACAAACCUUGGAGUCAAAACUCCAUUGAAUUUUUUCCUUUAUUUUCUUAAACAAAUCCAAAUGACUCCUAAUUCCUACUUAGACCUUUUUUAAUAACAAUUGAACCAACCAUUCACCAUUUUUCUCUCUUAUGCCUUUAAGGCCUCUUCCUCUUCUUCAAAACCAUUUUCCAACAAAAACUAAAAUCAACCAAACACACAAAAAACAUUUUUUGAGAGCGAACUACGUUUGGUUUUGAUCCCUUAAAAGGGUACGUAGGCAAUGAGUUAAAACUCCUCCAAGCCAAGUAAAAUAAAAUCUCAAUCAUCUUCUUCCCCCAUUCUUCACUCAAAUAAAUUUCCUUUUUCAUAAAUAGCAUUAAAAAUAAAGCGUAGACAUAAACUAAGAAAACGGCUCCUAUAGAGUACUAUAGUCACCGCGGGUGCCUUACACCUUCCCGUAGUGAAAACGACCCCCGAACUUAGAAUCUAAGGGUUUUUUCUCAAUUUUGCCCUUCCCAAGAAAAAAUAGAGAAUAUCAAAGAUUGAAAGGUUCAAGCCUAAUUAAUGACUUGACAUCCGAAAAUCGCGAUAACAUAUACUAUAACAUAAAUCAUUCAACUUAUGUUUAACAUAAUUUUUUUUUGUUAUAACGUAAAAUAUAACAAAAUUAUUCAACUUAUAUAUACUCUUAAAAUAAAUCAUAUACUCUUACUAAAAUAAAAUAAAAAAUAUAAAACACCAAAUUAAAAUAUAACCCUAAAAUUUUAAACUAUAACAUAAUCAUUGCAAACAUUUUAACUAAAUUAAUUAACUAACAUCUAAUCUAAAAAUGAUUUAUAACAUGUAAAUCUAAUUAAAAACUAAAAUAAAAAAAUAAAUAUAAAACACCAAAAUAAAAUAUAACCCGAAAAUUUUAAACUAUAAUAUAAACAUCAUACAAACAUUUUAACUAAAUUAAGCAACUAACAUUUACUCUAAAAAUGAAUUAUACUAUGUAAAUCUACUCAAAAACAAAAAUUAAAUAAAUCUACUCAAAAACUAAAAAAUAAAAAUAUUUAUAACAACUAAAAUGUAUGUUAAUAGCAUUAUAAUUACUUACUUGUGAUUUUGUUGAAUAAAUUUUGUUGGGUUUUUUAGAGAGAUUUGAAAAAAAAAAUUGGAAGAUGAGAGAGCUUCUGCCAGAUUUGUAGCAGAAGAUCCUCGGCAUUUAACUAUCGAAGUUUUCCUCGGCAGUUAACUGCAGCCGAUUAUUGAAUUCUUCAGCAGUUAACUGACGAAGGGGCAAAAUCGUAUUUUACUUGUGUGCCUCAGCCUUAUGAAAUGUGUCAACAACAAUUCUCAAAGGCUUAUAAGGCUUAUCCAAACUGAUUGGACUAUGAUAUUUCAGUAUCAUCUUUUUUUUUUUUUUUGACAAGGAUAAUUCAAUUUCUUUUGAUAAAAAGAUAUUUCAAGUUUUAAAUUGGCAAAAGAAAAAAUAUAAAAGUCGAGGCAAUAAAUUAAUCUUAAGUAGGGGUGUUCUAAGUGAGGUUUAGUUCGGUUUUGAUGUUAAAAGUCAUCUGAACUGCAAGAUUAAAAAACAUGUGAUUUGAUUUGGUUCGGUUGACUUUUAAAAUAAAAUCCGAACUAAAUCAAACCAAUGCGGUUUGAAUUGGAUCGGUUUGUGCGGUUUUUAUCGAUACAAUAAUUUUUUUUUGUUUUCAACAUUAAAACAAGUUAAUAAACUAAAACACAACAUAUACUCAAAAAAGAAAAAAACUAAAACACAACAUAUUUCCAGCAAUGUUUGCAACAAUGUUUUAAAUUUCAUCGAACAUUAAAAUUUCAUUUUCAUCUAACCAUAUUCUGAACAACAUAAACCAAAUUAAAAACGUGUGCAAAAAAUAAACUUAUUAUGUAAGAAAUGCAAAUAUAUACAUUGAGAAAAAAAAUAUUUAAAUAUAUUUAAUUUUUGUUUACACUAUUACGUAUAAUAGUUAUAAAUAAAUAAAUAGAAGGAUAAAAUCUAUAUCUAUAUUUUUAUAGUAUUAUUUAUGUAGUUUUUUCCUAAAUUUUGAAUUUUUUUUUUUGUCAAGUAGUCUAGUGGCCAGAGAAAUUUACCUUAAAGGUGAAUAAGUGGAGUGUCCGGGGUUCGAACCCCGACCCCUGCAUAUAAAUGCAUUAUCCCUUACCAAGUGAGUUAAGCUCACAGAGACCUUAAAUUUUGAAUGUUAACUAGUUUUCAAGAAUACUAGAGAUUUAAAAUAAUGACUAAAUUGCAUUUUUGGUCCCUUAACUAUUUUUGGUCCCUGUCUGAGCUCAACUCGAUUCGUUAAGAAUUAGCUCGUUCGAACUUCGGUUUGAGUUUGACACGAGCUUUUUUUUCAGCUCAAGUUCGGCUCGUUUAAAGUUCACAAACAGUUUGGUUCGGCUCAUUAGGUUCAAUUCGUUUGUUCAAAGCGCAUAACUUUCAGUAUGAAAACGAGUAAUGCCACUUGAACACGAAACUCAAAAGUAAAAAAAUUUAAAUUUUUGACACAUAAAUAUAUUGGAAUUUAUACUAAUUUUUAAUGGACCCAAUGAAGCUAUUAUUACACUUAGUAAUUAACUUUGGUAUGCAACCAUCAAAUCCGGUUGUGCCUUAUUGUGUCAUGUGUUUAUCUUAUUAUAGAUAAUUGUAUCCUUCAUUUUUCAUGCAUGUUCCGCAUCAGGACUAUCUUAGUUUUGAAAUCCUUAAAAACUACAACAACAACGUGCAUAGUGUUGUCUAUUAAUUUUAAUGUAGCUCAUUUUUAUCCUAUUAUUGCUAAGUGUUUGUAUUAGUUUUUAAAGUAUUAUAUAUAGAAUUAAUUAUCUAAUUGUGUAAAAUCAAUUAUAUAUAUAAUCGAGUCAUCUCAUGAACCAAACGAUUCGAACUACAUAUAGCUCAAGUUCAGCUCAAUUAGGCAGCGAACUUAAUUUUGAGCUCAAGUUCGGCUCAUUUGGUUCAUGAACCAAGUUCGAUGAAUCAAUUAUCGAAUCGAAUUACGAACUUAAUAGAGUUGGUUCGGUUCAUUGCCACCCCCCAAUUGUAUCACUUUAGUCCAUUAAUUAAAAUUCAAUUUAUUUCUUCAAAUAAAUUGAUAACAAGCUUGGUUUACAAGUUUAAAUGCGAACAAAAUUCGAAAUUGAUAUAAUAGGGAACUAGCAAAACCGGAAUAUAAUUGUUAUCUGGCAAAAUUGAACAUCAAAAAGUCGUUGUAGUAUAGUGGUAAGUAUUCCCGCCUGUCACGUGGGUGACCCGGGUUCGAUCCCCGGCAGCGGCGCU